rnacentral:rRNA from 1 species
AGUGAACGCUGGCGGUAGGCCUAACACAUGCAAGUCGAACGGCAGCACAGUAAGAGCUUGCUCUUACGGGUGGCGAGUGGCGGACGGGUGAGGAACACAUCGGAAUCUACUUUUUCGUGGGGGAUAACGUAGGGAAACUUACGCUAAUACCGCAUACGACCUACGGGUGAAAGCAGGGGAUCUUCGGACCUUGCGCGAUUGAAUGAGCCGAUGUCGGAUUAGCUAGUUGGCGGGGUAAAGGCCCACCAAGGCGACGAUCCGUAGCUGGUCUGAGAGGAUGAUCAGCCACACUGGAACUGAGACACGGUCCAGACUCCUACGGGAGGCAGCAGUGGGGAAUAUUGGACAAUGGGCGCAAGCCUGAUCCAGCCAUACCGCGUGGGUGAAGAAGGCCUUCAGGUUGUAAAGCCCUUUUGUUGGGAAAGAAAAGCAGCAGGUUAAUACCCCGCUGUUCUGACGGUACCCAAAGAAUAGGCACCGGCUAACUUCGUG